GUCCCUGUAGCGCAAUGAUUAGUGCGUUGGACUUCUAAUCUAAAGGGCGUGGGUUCGAAUCCCACCCGGGAUG